AGUGAACGCUGGCGGUAGGCCUAACACAUGCAAGUCGAACGGCAGCACAGUAAGAGCUUGCUCUUACGGGUGGCGAGUGGCGGACGGGUGAGGCAUACAUCGGAAUCUACUUUUUCGUGGGGGAUAACGUAGGGAAACUUACGCUAAUACCGCAUACGACCUACGGGUGAAAGCAGUGGAUCUUCGGACCUUGCGCGAUUGAAUGAGCCGAUGUCGGAUUAGCUAGUUGGCUAGGUAAAGGCCCACCAAGGCGACGAUGCGUAGCUGGUCUGAGAGGAUGAUCAGCCACACUGGAACUGAGACACGGUCCAGACUCCUACGGGAGGCAGCAGUAGGGAAUCUUGGGCAAUGGGCGCAAGCCUGAUCCAGCCAUACCGCGUGAGUGAAGAAGGCCUUCGGGUUGUAAAGCCCUUUUGUUGGGAAAGAAAAGCAGCAUGUUAAUACCCCGCUGUUCUGACGGUACCCAAAGAAUAAGCACCGGCUAACUUCGUG
rnacentral:rRNA from 1 species